UGAGAACGUGGUGUAACUGGAUAACAUCCCAGUCUACGAAACUGGAGAUUUGAGGGUUCAAAUCCUUCCGUUCUCGUC
rnacentral:tRNA from 1 species